rnacentral:rRNA from 1 species
GUUCUUCGGAACUAGAGACCGGCGCACGGGUGCGUAACGCGUAUGCAAUCUACCUUUCACAGAGGGAUAGCCCAGAGAAAUUUGGAUUAAUACCUCAUAGUAUAAUGAGUUGGCAUCAACACAUUAUUAAAGUCACAACGGUGAAAGAUGAGCAUGCGUCCCAUUAGCUAGAUGGUAAGGUAACGGCUUACCAUGGCUACGAUGGGUAGGGGUCCUGAGAGGGAGAUCCCCCACACUGGUACUGAGACACGGACCAGACUCCUACGGGAGGCAGCAGUGAGGAAUAUUGGACAAUGGGCGCAAGCCUGAUCCAGCCAUGCCGCGUGCAGGAUGACGGUCCUAUGGAUUGUAAACUGCUUUUGUACAGGAAGAAACACUGGUUCGUGAACCAGCUUGACGGUACUGUAAGAAUAAGGAUCGGCUAACUCCGUGCCAGCAGCCGCGGUAAUACGGAGGAUCCAAGCGUUAUCCGGAAUCAUUGGGUUUAAAGGGUCCGUAGGCGGUUUAGUAAGUCAGUGGUGAAAGCCCAUCGCUCAACGGUGGAACGGCCAUUGAUACUGCUAAACUUGAAUUAUUAGGAAGUAACUAGAAUAUGUAGUGUAGCGGUGAAAUGCUUAGAGAUUACAUGGAAUACCAAUUGCGAAGGCAGGUUACUACUAAUGGAUUGACGCUGAUGGACGAAAGCGUGGGUAGCGAACAGGAUUAGAUACCCUGGUAGUCCACGCCGUAAACGAUGGAUACUAGCUGUUGGAAGCAAUUUCAGUGGCUAAGCGAAAGUGAUAAGUAUCCCACCUGGGGAGUACGU